rfam:Alkalilimnicola ehrlichii MLHE-1, complete genome.
CGCCCCGAGGAGCGCUGCAACAGGGCCGCCGGCCCUGCCAGGCUCGGGGAUGGCGCCCCAUCGUUCCAACGGCGCUCAGCGAAA